UACGAGGGGGGCGAGCGUUGUUCGGAAUUAUUGGGCGUAAAGGGUGCGUAGGCGGCCAACUAAGUCAGACGUGAAAUCCCUCGGCUCAACCGGGGAACUGCGUCUGAUACUGGAUGGCUUGAAUUCGGGAGAGGGAUGCGGAAUUCCAGGUGUAGCGGUGAAAUGCGUAGAUAUCUGGAGGAACACCGGUGGCGAAGGCGGCUAUCUGGACGGUUUCUGACGCUAAGACGCGAAAGCGUGGGGAGCAAACAGG
rnacentral:rRNA from 1 species